UGACGUGAAUUUGCAAUAAUAAAAUAUUUAUUUAUUUUUGUUCGCUUUACACAUGCUCGCCGACGGGCAUGAAGUUUCACACUCGUCUCGUCGUCGAACUUCCGAUCUGGCGAGAGCGUCUUCAUCGGAUUAGUCCUCUUUUGUCGUUGAUUUGCUACUUCACGGGGGUAUGUAUGCCCACCACUUGUUCGACGAAAAUCCACCUGAAAUGUUGGAUGAUUAAGCAGAGUUUGGAGAAGCUUUCAUGAAAAGCGAGAUCUAUGGAUGUUUCUAGAUCUAAUCUGAUGAGAUCUCUCCACUUGAAGUUCCAAUGGAAUAUGAUUAUUUGCAUUGCCACUAAAAAUGGAUUCUGCUCAAUCUUGAAAUCUGGCAGCUUUCAAAUUGUUAUGGCCUUCGCCGUAUGAAGUUUACUGGUUGAAAGACAUAAAUUGAUAUUGGACGUGAAGCAACGCAUUCAGCUACUGAUGCUCUCUGAUCAAUCGGCUAUUCAGAAAGUGUUUUCUCGCUGCACAUGUGAGUCAGUGGAUGUGAAAGCCAAGGUUUCUUGUAGAAUGUAGAUUAAAAGGAAAAUGUUACCUGAAUUCAGGAACCAGGCUAGGUAGCUGUUGCAACCAGAGGGAAAAUCAUAUCCUUGAUAAUUGCAUGUGCUUUGUAGAUCUUUAAAAGUUUCAGUUCUUGAUUCUCUAUAUUCCUGCAAUUUUUGUUUUUGUUUUUCAUUGACAACUACAAAUGCUUUUUGCCCAGUUGAUGUGGUUCGAUUUUCAAGAAUCUAGUUGGAUGCCAGUAUAAGUAUUGUCUCAUGUUUUCUCAAUGAAUCUGUAGAAGGGAGGUGUUUUGUUGUUGAAGUGUUUGCUUAGUUAAAAUGGCUAAGGGUCUUGUCCUUUUGUUUGUUACAAUGUUAGUCAUUGUUUAGUGGCGUUUCUAGUUUAGUGCCCCUGAAAUGCGAGGGAAGUCAUUAAUGUUCUGUGUUCCUUUGCUGAUGCUCAUUAAUUAAUCGCAGUGAUGCCAUAUGACAUGCAAAGUGGUCUCUUGGAGAAAUUUAGCAGCAUUCAGCUAUUAAUUCUCCUGAUCAAUCCGCUAUCCAGAAAGUGUUUUCUCGCUGCACAUGUGAGUCAGUGUAUGUGAAAGCCAAGUUAUCUCUUGAAGAAGUUGCAGCAUUCAGCUAUUCUCCAGAAAGUGUUUUCUUUCGAAAAGCCAAGUUGCCGUUUGGGAGAACCUGGCAGCAUAACAAAAAGGUGUUUUCGUGAAGCAAAUAUGAGUCAUGGAAUGUGAAAGCAGAGGUACCUUGUGGAUCCAAUUCUACGAGUUUUUAAACUUCCGCACUCAAUUUUCUGAAGUCAUGAUGGGCCAUUGUUAUGAUUCUUGAUUGUCACUGUAAAUCCAUAUGCUAUUUAACAGAUUGUUUUACCUUUGAAUGUUAAUUAUCAUAAAGUUAUCAGCAAAAGCUUUUGCCUUUCAAACGUGACGUGAAGCACUGCGUAGGCUAAUGAACAGAGUUCCUGAAUGCUAUUGAUCAAGCUUCUCUUGUAUUUUGGAUUUUAACUUGCUCACAUUCCAGGAGCUAGAGAUUUGAGUCCUGCUGCUCAUUGUUUUUGUUUUUUUGGCUUAACAUUUUGAUGAACAACUAAUUCUAGAAGUUGUAUAA